rnacentral:rRNA from 1 species
CAGUCGCCACGGUAAUACGUAGGUGGCGAGCGUUGUCCGGAAUUAUUGGGCGUAAAGGGAGCGCAGGCGGGCGAGUAAGUCUUUCUUAAAAGUGCGGGGCUCAACCCCGUGAGGGGAGAGAAACUACUCAUCUUGAGUGCAGGAGAGGAAAGCGGAAUUCCUAGUGUAGCGGUGAAAUGCGUAGAUAUUAGGAAGAACACCAGUGGCGAAGGCGGCUUUCUGGACUGUAACUGACGCUGAGGCUCGAAAGCCAGGGGAGCGAACGGGAUUAGAUACCCCAGUAGUCCCUGUCUCUUAUACC